UACGUAGGGAGCAAGCGUUGUCCGGAUUUACUGGGCGUAAAGGGCGCGUAGGCGGCCUCUUUAGUCAGACGUGAAAUCCCCCGGCUUAACCUGGGAACUGCGUCUGAUACUGGGAGGCUAGAGUUCGGGAGAGGGAUGUAGAAUUCCAGGUGUAGCGGUGAAAUGCGUAGAUAUCUGGAGGAAUACCGGUGGCGAAGGCGGCAUCCUGGACCGAAACUGACGCUGAUGCGCGAAAGCUAGGGGAGCAAACGGG
rnacentral:rRNA from 1 species